GCCUCGGUGGUGUAGUGGUAGUAGCACGCGUCCCUUGUACGGAUGAAACGCGAGUUCCGUUCCCGCCUGAGGCC